rnacentral:tRNA from 1 species
GGCUCAGUGGUUAAGAGCACUGGCUGUUCUUCCAGAGGACCUGGGUUCAAUUCCCAG